rnacentral:tRNA from 1 species
CAGAAUGUGGCUGAAUAGUUAAGCAUCUCACUUACACCGAGAGAAAGCCCUUGCAAAUAGGACCAUUCUGU